rnacentral:rRNA from 1 species
GGGAAUCUGCCCUCAGGUUCGGAAUAACCAUUGGAAACGAUGGCUAAUACCGGAUGAUGACGUUAAGUCCAAAGAUUUAUCGCCUGAGGAUGAGCCCGCGUAGGAUUAGCUAGUUGGUGUGGUAAAGGCGCACCAAGGCGACGAUCCUUAGCUGGUCUGAGAGGAUGAUCAGCCACACUGGGACUGAGACACGGCCCAGACUCCUACGGGAGGCAGCAGUGGGGAAUAUUGGACAAUGGGCGCAAGCCUGAUCCAGCAAUGCCGCGUGAGUGAUGAAGGCCUUAGGGUUGUAAAGCUCUUUUACCCGGGACGAUAAUGACAGUACCGGGAGAAUAAGCUCCGGCUAACUCCGUGCCAGCAGCCGCGGUAAUACGGAGGGAGCUAGCGUUGUUCGGAAUUACUGGGCGUAAAGCGCACGUAGGCGGCUUUGUAAGUUAGAGGUGAAAGCCUGGAGCUCAACUCCAGAAUUGCCUUUAAGACUGCAUCGCUUGAAUCCAGGAGAGGUGAGUGGAAUUCCGAGU